rnacentral:lncRNA from 1 species
CUGGCGGAGGCAUCGGGGCGCCGCGACGGCGUGCGGCCGCACUCUCUGGGCCUUGGGGCUCCCCUCCGCCACCACCAGAGCAGAUACACUCAGCUCCCGGGCCCCGGAGGCCCGCACCUGCCCUGCUGGCGCCGCCUACGUUCAUCUUCCCAGCACCCACCAAUGGCGAGCCCAUGCGCCCGGGGCCUCCAGGCCUGCAGGAGUUACCACCGCUGCCACCGCCCACACCGCCGCCCACACUGCAGCCACCAGCGCUCCAGCCAACGCCGCUGCCGGUGGCUCCCCCGCUCACCCCGGGUCUGGGCCACAAGGAGUCAGCCCUGGCUCCCACCGCAGCCCCUGCUCUGCCCCCAGCCUUAGCCGCCGACCAGGCCCCGGCCCCAUCCCCGGCUCCAGCUCCCACCGUGGCUGAGCCCUCGCCGCCUGUGUCCGCGCCCGCACCCGCGGCUGCGCCCAUCAAGACCCGCACGCGCAGGAACAAGGGUUCCCGUGCAGCCCGGGGCGCGACCCGUAAGGAUGGCUUGCAUGGAGAUGGUCCUCGCGAACGAGCUACAGCUACCGUGCCUGACAGCAGUGGUGGAGGGGGUGGUGGCAGCGGGGCCUCUCAGACUGGGGCAGCUAACACCCGCGCUGCGCGCCACUGGCUGCCCUUCCAGGUGCUUAACUCCUGUCCCUGCAAGUGUUACUGCCACCACCAGCCACGCCAUCGCCGCCUGCCACGCAACGUCUCUGCCUGGCUGAGCACAUCCACCAACCACCUGGGCGAGCCACCCUGGGUUGCCACCAUCAAGCUGUCCGGCUCUCUGGUGGCCAAGCUGGAGCACUACGACUUGCAGGCCACCCAUUCCAACUGAGUGUAGUCGGCUCAACACCCUCCACCUUCCCCUCCAUGCCAAUAAAAUAACCAAUCC